CCUACGGGGUGCUGCAGUGGGGAAUAUUGGACAAUGGGCGAAAGCCUGAUCCAGCCAUGCCGCGUGUGUGAAGAAGGCCUUCGGGUUGUAAAGCACUUUCAGUGGGGAAGAAAGCCUUGGGGCUAAUACCCUCGAGGAAGGACAUCACCCACAGAAGAAGCACCGGCUAACUCCGUGCCAGCAGCCGCGGUAAUACGGAGGGGCGAGCGUUAAUCGGAAUUACUGGGCGUAAAGCGCGCGUAGGCGGUCUGAUAAGCCGGUUGUGAAAGCCCCGGGCUCAACCUGGGAACGGCAUCCGGAACUGUCAGGCUAGAGUGCAGGAGAGGAAGGUAGAAUUCCCGGUGUAGCGGUGAAAUGCGUAGAGAUCGGGAGGAAUACCAGUGGCGAAGGCGGCCUUCUGGACUGACACUGACGCUGAGGUGCGAAAGCGUGGGUAGCAAACAGGAUUAGAUACCCUGUAGUC
rnacentral:rRNA from 1 species